rnacentral:rRNA from 1 species
UACGUAGGGGGCCAGCGUUGCUCGGAAUUACUGGGCGUAAAGCGUGCGUAGACGGUUACAUAAGUCGGGUGUGAAAGCCCCGGGCUCAACCUGGGAAUUGCAUUCGAGACUGCGUAGCUAGGGUGCGGAAGAGGGAAGCGGAAUUUCCGGUGUAGCGGUGAAAUGCGUAGAUAUUGGGAGGAACACCAGUGGCGAAGGCGGCUAUCUGGACGAACACUGACGCUGAGGCACGAAAGCGUGGGGAGCAAACAGG